rnacentral:misc_RNA from 1 species
CUCAGCUUCCUACUUAGUAUUUUCGUUUUGUUGAUUUUGUUGUAAAUUUCGAGUUGAUUACUUAUUAGAGAGGUUUUUGCAAAUGUUAAUAUGUCCAAGUUUGCUUGGGAACAGAUUUAAGAAAGUUAAAAUGGAGUAGGGCUUGCAAAAAGCCAUUAACUGGCUGUUCCGCGAUGGCUGGAUUUUUGACAGCGAAGUUGCGUCAACUGUCAGAAGGGACCAAAACAUUUACUUCGACAUUUGAGGUUUGUAAAUUAUCCUCUUCUAGCCGGCAGAUGGAGUGGAAGCUGGACAGCAGAAUGGAAUGGCAUGCUAAGUUAAUUUAAAUGUCUUGCUCAAGCAAGUUAAACCAGCAAGGCAAUAUCAAGAUGCUAGAGGCUGUGGGAUCACAGCUCCUGGUGGCAGAUAGCAUUGCAGUUGGACAUCAGACCACGAGGAACACAACACAUUGGGCUUAAUGAGGUUUCCGGAGAGCAGAAUGUCUCUAGAGGCUGCAUUGCCUUGGUCGGACUCUGUCCACUCAUGGCUAGGCCAUCAGCUGGAGCUUCGUGGUAUUGACUCCAUUAUUUAUACUCGGUACGUCAUCACCCUGUUGCAGCAAGAUGUCUCUGAGCUAGAAAACUCGGAAAGAGAAGAUUUAUGGGAGAGAAGAGCUGAAGCCAAACGAAACAAAGACAAAAAAGAAGGGAAAAAGAAAAGCUGCUCUGUUAGUGAAGAGGAUAAAAGGAAAACGGCUGCAGUUGAAUGUUUAUUAUCUGUGUCGGAUGAAGAAAGCGACAUUGAGAAUUUGGUUGACGAGUUGUGUGCUAGACUUAAAGAGACUAGAUGUGAAAGAGAAUACUUUGCUCCCUUAUCCAUCAACGUUAAUGAUGCAACUGAUGACAGAACAGAGAUAGAAAUAGUGGAGUCGCAGGAUCCAGCAGAAAGGUAUUAUGCUGCAUUUCCAGCUCUUCCUGGGGAAGGUUCACCACAGAAUGUGUCACCUUCCUUGACAGAAGACAAUGUCUGGCGGCGAAAUCCUUUUACUGGAACCCUUGCUGGUGAUACUUACGAGAGUAAAGAUAAAAAUGAUGAUGGUGAUGAUAAGAAAUCUCCACCAGCAUUUGAAAAAUAUUCGCAUAAUGUCAAUAAAAAAGUAUCCACCAAUACAAAGCUGCGGGAUGAAAAAGAAAAUCAUCAUCCACAGCCAAAAUUUAAAAAUCAGAGAAAAGCAUCACCUGGUGGAAAUAAGGUGAAGCAAAAUGCAAAGAAAGGAAAUUUUGAAGGAAAGAAUCGAAAAGGUGCUCACUUGUUAAACUGGCAAUUUACUGGUCAAGAUAGCAUUGCAAAGGAAUCAUUUUUGUCUGCUGAACACAAAAGUGAUUCACUAGAUCCAAAGGAAGAACAGUACUGCAACAUGGUAGAGAAUAUGCUAAAAGAAUUACUGCUUGGAGAAAAGGAAAAAUGUCAUUUUUCAAGAAUGGAAAAAUACUUUCCAAGUCCAAACUACAAGUACAGCUCGAUACCUCAGUGGUAUGAAGAAAAUAUUUAUAACAGAGAAUUUUUGGAAAAUGAUGACUGGUAUACCAAGCCACUUGAAAAUAUAUUUGCAACACCUGUAUCGAAGGCUCAGCGUUUAUACAAACGGCAUAGUUACCCUCCAGCUGUAUUUAGUUGUGAUGAGAGAUUGAAUUGGGAAGACCUGUUUCCAGAUCCAGUCUUGUACCUUGAAAAGCCUGAAGAAUCGUAUCAGUGUAACAGUCCUGAUGCUAAUUCCGAAGAUGUAGAGAGCAGUAAAGAUGUCACGAAGUCAGAUGCUGAGAUUGGAUGUACAAUACAAGAUAAUAAGGUAGUUCAUUGUGAAGACCAUCUUGAAGAAGCUUCUCGUGCUGGAUUGGAUGAAGUUCAUCAGCCUGAAGUGGAUGGAUUCUUCACAGGGCAAAAUACUGAUGUUACAAGCACAGUCCAGAGUUUUCCACUAGUUUGUGUUCACUCUGAUAGUGAACCAAACACCAGUGGAAAUCUAGUGGAUGUGGCUGUUGCAGAAAGUGAUGGAAUCGUCUUUAGCAACUUGUCAGCACCGCUGUCAAUAGGAAAGGAAGAAGAUGAAACGGAUGUCAUUGAUGAUUUACUGAAAUCGGUGGAAAAACACUGGGACACUUACACUAUUUCUAAUGAUGCUAGCAGUACUGUUUCCAGUUCUGACAAAGGCUGUUUAAGCGACACUACGGAAGUGUCCCCGUGCAUUACAGAUGUCAGUCAACAGGCCAGUCCGUUUCCAGAUAUGCUACUGCUGCUGAAUUACGGCGAAGACAGCAGGUCUGAGCCAGGGGUUCGCUUGGUUAACUCUGAUGAUGAUGAUAAUAACUUUGCCACUCUGGUCGACUUGCAGAAUGUAUUUGGACCAAAUAGUACAGAGUUCGAAAGCAACAUUCUUGAAGAUGUUCAGUGGGAUAAUACUUCAUCGAGGCAAGACUUGGGGAAAGAAUGGCUUCCUUACAAUAUGCGUAGUUGCAGUUUGUCUCAAGUCUUUGAAGAUGAAGCUGGUGGGGGAGAAGAUUAUUUUAGGAUACAGAGAACACUUGAAUGCUGUUUUCUUGAAAGGAAUGAUCAGUCAGAUAAUAUUUCAGCAGAAAAAUUACCAGGAAAGGAAUUCUUUCCUUUCACAGUGCACACUUGCAGUUCUAGUGAUGAUACAGAUGCAAGUGGAGAAUCCUUUGUUGAUGUUAAAUGUAUGUUGGCUAGCUGCCAGGAAAUGGAUUGCCCACAUUUGAAGGAUGCCUUCUCUGUAUUGUUUAAUUUAGAAAGCGAUGAUGAUGAUAAUGAUGAUACUUUUGUUGAGAACAAGGAUCAGGUGCUAGAACAACUGCCAGCUAUUGGUAGCGGAAGGGAAGGUGAGAUUGACGAAAGUGCCUGUUUUCCAACAGAUCUCUUGAGUUCUUUUGGUCCUGUUGGUGAUUACUCAGGAAAUUCAGAUUGUUUGCUGUUUGGUUUACCUCAACUCGUUGAUACCAGUUAUUUGUUAGAUUUGUUUGGACUGAGUGAAACGGGUCCCAGAGUUUCCCGAUCUCCAGCGUUUUUGUUUCAUCUCACCCCUGUAAACGAAGGCGGUUCCUCGUGCUGGCACAACCGAGUUUUCCUAGAUGAAUUUGAAUGCUCCUUGAGCUUUGAGGAGUUCUGCCAAUCGUCACCUAGGAUGUUUUGGGAUGAUUUAUUGAAGAAUGAAAUGUCAAAUGUGGAGGGCAGAUCGCAGGGACAACAAACUGUGAAACCAUUGUACCAUCUGUGGGAUGUGAACAGCAACAAAAAGGUCCCUCCAAUGUCAGAUACGAGUGAUGUGUGGAACAGCAUCCUCAGUCUGUGUGUUCUCACACCAGAGUACACAGUUGGUGAUGACAUUUUCUCUUCUCAGAGCCACGAAACUGGGGAUUCUGCAGCUUUUGCAAUAGAAGAUUCUGUCUUGGAUCUCCAGUUUCUAGAGGAAUUUGGUGAAAACAAACAUUAUUUAUAUGACAGGAGUUUUUUUGAAGGAAGUCUCCCAAAAUUUUGGCACAAUUCUUGGACAUGUGAAUCAUUUGACUCUGCUUUCGGUAAAAAUUAUGGUUUUGUACCCUCCAAGAACUCUGCUUUUAUGGGUGUUGUACCAAGAGCAUUUCAUCAUGUUCAAAGUGCACCAAACCUGACUUACAGUAGGCUACUCAGUCCACUUAUGGGAACUGAUAAUUUUGAAAAAACGCGUCAACCUCCAUACUCACCAACUGAGCACUUGUACUUUUCAUCAGAAACACAUUUCCGACCCAUUCAAACACCAGUAGGUACUCCAGAUGCAGAAUAUCAACCAAAUGACUUGUUUGGUGGUGCUUCUGCUAGCACAGGUACUCCAUACCAGCAAUACCGAGAUGUUACCGAUGAGCAAGAGAUGAAAUUCAGACCCAAGUUCAAAAUCCUGAAAUACCUUGACAAAUACAUUCAAACUGGAAGCAGUUUAGAUGAAAACAGUGUCCCUGGAUCUGACAUGGUGGUGGUUCUUUGUGCUGCUGAAGCACAGGAAUGUUCAGAAAAUACUUUAGAUUUACCAGCUGUAACACAAGAACAGACCGCCGUGGUCAUAGCUAAAGAGAAAACUGAAGAAGGAUCUGUUACUGAUUUCCUUCAGGAAACUGAAAAUCCCAGUCUUGAGAAAUACAAAGAAGAUAAUGAGUCAGUCUUGUCUGUCCCACCUGGAUUUGAAAAAUUGGCAGCCUCUCAGAGUUUUAUAAUAAAUGACGGUGAAGGGGAUAAAGUGCAACCUGAUGGCAAUAAUAUGAUUGGAACUGAUGGAAUUAUCUUUCAUGAUGCAGUUGUUGGUCCAUUGUCAAACUGGAAAGAAGAUCUUACAGAUUCCUCUGAUACAUGCAGUCCUGAGAACCCAGGUGAAUCAGAGUGUGAAGCAUCACAGGUGAUCUUCGGUGAUAAAUCUGAGCAUAGUGAUGUAUUUACACAGGAUGAGGAAAAUGCAGGGAAACAAGAUCUGUGCUUAUGGGACCUUCCACAACCAAGUGAGGGCGAUAGCAUCUGGAUGCCAUUGCAGUCCACUGUGGAGAAAUCCGAGUCGGUCGAUGUUAAAAUGAGGUCUGAUGUUGGCAAUAUAUGGAAAAGUUCAUAUGAGAUGGAAGAUGAAGCAGGCAGUAUUUGGAAAGUUCCAUCUGAAACAAAGGAUGAAUCAGAUGGCAUUUGGAAUAUGCCAACAUCUGAGAUAGAAAACGAAGCACAAAAUAUUUGGGAUCUCCCUCCACGUGAGGUGGAGAAUGACGCACAAAGUAUUUGGAAAAUUUCCACGUCUGAGACAGACAAUGAAACCACUGUUCAGUGUAUGCCAUUUUUGAAAUGGGCAUUUUCUGUUGAGUCUGAUUAUGAAGUCAACAUUGAAUCCAUUUGGCAACCACCCGGUUCCUGUAAUAGUACGGAUCAUCUUGACUGGGACAACAAAUUGGGCCAAGACAACAUCAUAGCGGUCAGUCACAAUUCUGUGUGGGCAGUGAGAGAGAUGAAAGAUCAAAUUUCUUCUGUUGAAAACACAGCCUUGAAAGAUAUAUGGGCUUCAGAAUCGAGGACAGAGUCCAUUAAACAUCCUUCUGAUAAAGAAGAGUAUGAUCUGCUGACUGCAAAUUACAGUGGUGAACCGUCUUGGAGUGCUGGGUACGAGAAAGCAUAUUCACAUAAUGAGAAAAAUAACUUUUUCUUAGCUCCAGAAAAAGAAGAAAGUCCCAUUGGACAUUGUUUCCAAAGUGAUGAACAAAGCAAUAUGUAUUAUACAGAGGGAGAGCCUGCCAGUCCCUCCAAAACUGUGUGUAAAAUGAGAGAGUUCUGUGAUGACGGAGAAGGUGACAGUGUUAAAACACAUCACUCCAAUGACCUGUACAAUUACUACCUACAGAACUACCCUGAAAUGGAAUCCUUUGUUCUUAGUUCAGAUCUGGAGGAGUGUACAGAGAAACAGGAUUAUGAUUUUGGUAGUCUAGUGCCUAUACCUCAACAAGCUGUUUUCUCCUCUGACUUGGAAAAACAGUGGUUGGACAAAAAAUCGCAUGCUGUGAUAGAUAAUAGAAGACGAUCUCAGAAAAAUAGAAUUUUCAAAGGUGGAAGUAGAAAACCAUGCAGUUUCUUCUUGGAUGGAAACUGCCGCAGGUCAGACUGUAAGUUUUCUCAUGAUAUCUCCAACAUCACAUGUCGCUUCUGGGAGGCUGGCCAGUGUUUUAAGGGCUCUCUUUGUCCUUUUCUCCAUGGUUACCCAAGUGAUGUUUCUUCAUCCUCGCCAGAUGUACAAGUACAGCUAUCGAAAGAGCAAUUCCCUGAACUUGAACGGAGUGCAAAAUGUUUGGUAAAACCACCACAAAGUCAAAAAAUGGCACGGAAGCGACAAGUUCAGAAGGAAUUUCUGAAAAAAGAUCUAACCAUUCGAAAAGAGGGAUCUGCAUCAAAACAUGAAUUGACUGUUGUUGGCUCUGUACACUGAAGCAAGUACGCGAUCUGGAGAUGGUGUUUACAAUCAGUGAGGAUGAUUGAAUAUAAAUACACUUCUGAGAUUAGGUUUUAUCCAAUGGGUAGUUCCGAAAUCAAUUUCUAGUGUGGUUGUCUUAACAACUUGUGUACAUCAAGCUUAUUUAUUUUUUCAUUACCCAUUGUGUGUUGUGAAAUUUCUUCUUCAUUUUUCUUUUUCUUUGUUUGGUUAAUUUUAAACUGUAUGCUAUACCAGGUGUGUGUGUAGGAAUUUAAGCAGAGGGGUAUAAACAGUGGCAAGUGAUGUUUGGAGAGGUGAUAUGAAGUCAUGCUCCCACGGAAAAUACACUUAAGAAAAGAAAUUUUGUUUGAGCACAGGACAGGGGUUUGAUCCCCGAAACCCCCCUGCACAUGCACCUGUAGAGUUCUUUUUUUAUUGAUGACUGCAAGUGGGUUUGUAGCUUUCAUUAGCUGUGGAAUGUCUGUAAGAAUAGUAUCUUAAUUGUUAUGGGUCGACCUGCAAUGUAUAUUUGUAUUAAUGCUUACAUGUAGUAGCUUUCACAUUUUUAACAAAGGUUAUGUACAAUGUUGCCUUUCUUAGUAUAUAAAUAGAAAUGUUAAAUGUUUAGGUUGUGAAUUUACUACAGUUAUCCUCGAGCUGUAUGCAGAUCUAUAUUAAAGUUGUGGCUGUCUCUCAUGUCCCAUUACACUAACUCCUAUAAGUGUGCACAGAAAUCCAUGCUGAUCAAUUAUUGUGAGAUCCUAAGGUCUGGUUAGAGUGCAUCUUAGGGCUAUUAAAAACAUUAAUGAUCAUAUCAAAAGAAUGUAAGACAACAGUUAUGCUUUAAGUUUGGUGAGUAAACAUUAAUGUUUAUUUCUUUUGAAAGUUUUUUUUUUUAUGGGGGGGGUUUUGUGAUUUUUUAGGUUUUGUUUUUUUUGGUUCAUAGUAAUUGAAUUGUCCUCGUAAAAGGAUUAUUUUGGAGUGUAGUCACAUGAGAUAAACAACUAAUAGAUCUGGGCUUCUUGUUGUUUCACUCACGGUAUGGUUAUGGUUGAUGGCAUGUUGUUUAAUUUUUAUUGUGUGUUGUAGCAGGAUUCUGCUCUCAGUGGUCGGCGUUAAGGCGACGCCACAUGUUACAAGAAUAGCUGAUGACAAGACAAACAUUACAAUGUCAUUGGUUGCUAUGCAAUUGGUUAUUCUCGUGACUGUUCUUGUAUGAGGCACUUGUAUUGUGAGUCGCCACCUUUAACCAGCACUGAUGCUACCGAUAGCGCUGCUGACCACUGCUUACAAUAUUGUGUCAGUGUUUUUAAGGCAGGAAUUUUACACUUAGUAUGCUGUUUCCACCAAGUUUUAAGCAGAAUCGUGUUAUGAAUAUUUCUGAAAUCACACUAAUGAAAAUUGUUUAGCACUUGAGGUACAUAGUUUUCAUAUGUUUAGAUUGGCACUGUAAAAAAAAUUCCAGUUUGUCUUUUUGCUUUCCCUAUACCCAAUUUCAAACAUUUAUGAUUGUAGUGGUUUGAUCUUCUUCUAUGUCUUAUUACAUUUUUGUUUAGGUAUGGGUGAGAUAACUUGGAGUUGCAUUGGCCUCCUCACAUGACAAAAUGGUUAACUAAAAUAAUAAUGUAUACAGUGUAUUGAUAGACUGACAAAAUGUGAUUAUUUUCAAUUAUUUCAGAUGAUAAGCAGUGUCAGUGUUGGGAGCCUUAAAACUGGAAAUUACGGUUCUUUCUAAAAUGUUGUGAAGCCUUUGUCCACUGAUGGUGCUUCAAUCCAUCUUUAGCAAGAGAACUGUAUAGUAACCAUUGUUUGGUAUUAAACAGCUAUAUGUCAGUUCACUAGAUCAUCUGGGUGAAAUGCUGCCAUGGUUCUUUUAAAAAAAUAAAAAAAAUAAAGUAAUGUGUGGACCUCCUGUGUAAGUAUUGUGUUCAGCUGUUGUUCUUAGUGUAUAUGGAAUUAUUUUUAACGUAAAAUUAAAUAUUGUUGUGAAACUAAAAUUAAAAACUAGGUCAAGAAGGUCAACAAUAAAACAGACUCAUCGUUUAUUCUUUAAUUAUUAAAAUAAAAAUUGGCUUUGUGAAAAAAUCUUUCACCUUAAAAACUAUUACUUUCUUGCAACUAUCUGGAUUAUUUAGUUACUCGAGACACAUUUUUGUAACAGAUUUGAUGUGUGUAAAAUUGCUACAUAAACUGAGUAUCCAGAUUGGUUCAAAAAUAGUGCACUAAAAUAGUUUAUGCUAUACAUUUUAAAAAUAUUUAGGAUUUAUUUUUGUGAAAGUUUGUAUGGUAGUCUUAUGGAGUUUGUGAUUAUUUAAAUAAAUACAAUAACGGUUUUCCAAUCAUUAUAAACAGCUCUUGCACACACUAUAAGAAAGAAAGAAAAAUGGAACCACCAGAUAUUUGUAUAUAUGGGUUGUAUAUUUGAGGUAACAAGAAUAAAUGAAGCUAAAGUUAUCAGUAUUAUUAUGCACACAAGUGUAUAGAGGAAUUGAGAAUGUUAAAUAUGUUAAAACACAUUCUCAGUUAGAUGACGGCAGAAGCAUCGAAGUGUGUUGUUGCUGGAUUGGACAAACACCAUUACGAUAUACAGUAUUCACUGUAUUGUUUGUAUCUGUAGUCAUCGGGUGAUGAUGCCCUUAUUGUAAGAAAACUGUUAACAGUGUAUGGAUGUCUGAUGCUAAUAUAUAUUGUGGGCUUGUAUUUUAGAGGUUUACGUUUUUAAUCAGCUCUUAAGUUAAUGCAAACCCUCUGAUAAAGACUGUUAUAAUUGAGUUUUUAACAGUGAUAUUAUGGACUACACUUAGAUGUAACUUGUACACAGUGCUAAUUAUAAGUACACUCAGAUGAUAGUAUAGAACAUUAUUUACUGUUUGCAAAGAGAAAUAAGCUCUGGUUUCCUGGGUAGUUUGUAACUAAGACCAGGUAAUUGGUAGUUUACUCUAAGAAAUACUGAGGUAAACAACAAUUGACUGCUUAUAGUAUGAUUGAUUAGACACAGAUUUUAAAGCUUUAAGAAUUACAACAGGUUUCUAAGAUUUAAGAAUUAUUUGCUGUAACAUUCCUAAUAUAUGCAUAUAGUUUAAUAAAAAAUAAUUAAAAUACCUUAUUUUAGUCUCAGCUUGUGUCAAAUAAAUAUAAUCACUAUACUAAAACUUUAAAAAUUAAACCAAUAUGAAAAAACAACAACAUAAAUGACAGCUAGUCUUAUAAAAUUAUAAGAGAUGUUAUAAUAACAGAAAUAAUACUCAUUAGAAAUUAAGAAAUAAAUGAGGGAGAACAUUAUUUAAAGCAAUAUUUGUUCACUCAAGUUAACAAAUAACUAUGGAUAUAUAUUUGAAACUUUAUUGAAGCAGCAUAAAGUUGUGGAAUGGUUUAAGACUUUAUUAUCUAAUUGUGAAAUGUCAGAAUCACACAUAGUCAACAUAUGACUGAUUUCUUGUAAAAUGUUUUGAUUUACAGUCAGAAUUGAGAUUGCAACUUGAAUGUAUACUAGUGGAAAAAAGUAACUGUGUAUGGUUAUCAUGUUGAUAAAAACAUAAUUUCAAGACAUAAAACGAUAAAAUGAUCAUAUAGCAUUAUUUAUUAGGCAAUUAAGCAAAACGUCAAUUCAUUUAAAAUGUCACAGCAUCCGUCAUUUCAUCGGUAUUGGGGAUGAAAGACAUGGGGGGUAAAAAAACAGUUCACAAAGUUAAUAGCGCGUAUGGCCACCGUUUGCGUCGAUGCAGGCCAGGCACCGUCGCCUCACAGAGCCUACCAAAUUGUUGAAGAAUGCCUGGGGAAUGCCGUUCCAGAUCUGUACUAACGUCUGACCAAGCGCUCUCAACGUCAGCGGCUGGUUAGGCAGUGCACGUACACGACGUUGCAUCUCAUCCCAGACGUGCUCGAUUGGUGCAAGAUCGGAUGAGACCGCAGGCCACUGCAACACAUCGAUGUUCUGCUGUGCUAGAAAAUCCAUUACCACCCGGGCGACGUGAGGUCUAGCAUUGUCAUGCUGAAGCGUGAUGUGACGUUGCUGUCCUUGCACAAAUGGGAUGACGUGAGCCUGAAUAAUGUCAUCACGGUAGCGUACAGCGUUCAAAUUGCCAUCGAUGACCACAAGAGGUGUUCAUCCAGUUGACGUGAUGCCACCCCAAACCAUGACACUGCCUCUGCCAAAUGCACAUCGCUCCACAACACAGGCGUCACUAAAACGUUCUCCAACACGACGAUACACUCUUGAACGGCCGUCACUGCUGUCCAAGUGAAACCUGGACUCGUCCGUAAACAGUAUGCCCGCCCAGUCACGGCGAUUAAAGUGCAAGUGUCUUCUACACCAAGCCAAACGUGCUACACGAUGACGUCUUAGCAAAACUGAACGGACAGCCGGGCGUUGCGGACGGAUACCAUGUUCACGUAAUCGAUUCCGUACAGUUCUGGGAUUAAUGGCACGCAAUCCAGGAAUGGUCCGCGCUGUCAGACUUGCCGUUUGGAAUCGAUUCCUGAGGUGCACGAGUCUGAUGUGGUUGUCCUGCUGUCGUGACGUCACACGUGGACGGCCUGCACGUUGUUGGUCUCUGACAUUACCACAAAGCCUCAAUACUGUUUAUGUGUACACCAAAUUGCGUAGCGACAGCGCUAUGGCGCAUACCAGCCUGGAUCAUGCCAAUUGCGCGAAGGCGGUCAUUUUCGUUUAGCCUGGGCAUUGCUCUGCUACAAUUUUCAACAGAAAUAACCUGCUUUUCUGUACCCCCGGUUGGCAUGCAAUGACCCGACAGUUGAAAAGUCGACAAAAACUUGAAAAGUAACAUGUUGGGAGAAAAAAAUGGGAAAAACAUGUUCAUGUCCCAGAAGCAAAACUGCACAUGCAAAUACGGCAUUGACCCAGCUAUUGUGUGGCGGUGCGUUCACUGGUAACAUGUACAAAACAUCAGGCUAAAAUAUUGAGCGGUUUUAUUUUCAUCCGAUUUUUUAGGUUACACAGUUACUUUUUUCCACUAGUAUAUUUAUAUAUUCACUGUUAUUGCCUGCAUAUGAAGAAAAAAGAAAAAGGAAAGAUGUAUAUACCUUGGUAUAUAUAAAUUCAAAAUGUUUUGUCAUAUGAAUACAACUUUAUUUGUUUUAUGCAGGACAAACUAGCAAAGUCCAUAUCCUAGGUCUUUAUCUGUUGACAGAGACAUUGAAAUUCUAAAUAGUUGAGGAAAGUGACCUUGCAUUUUAUGUCCAUGAAUAUUUAAUUUAAACUCCAUAGACGUGACUAGUUCCCUAACAGUUGAUUUCCUGUCAGUUUAUUGAUGAGCACAUUCCAGUAUACAUGAUGUAUGCCUUAUUCAUUCCUGAACAGUUUUCUCAGACCGCUGUAAUUCUUUUCCUUUAUAACAAGUGAGAAAUAUUACCGUGUACAUUAGAGAACCAUAUUUUAUUUAAAACUUUGCUAAUACCAAGGCAUUCACAAAUUCUAGCAUUACUGUAAUUAUCAUUUAUGAUAUAAAACAAAGAUUUUAAAAAAAUAAAAAUUGUAAUGGUAAUACAGUCAUAUUAAAUGACUGAACUGGUUGGAUAUUUGUUGUGCUACAGUGUGUCACUAAAUUUUUAUCCCUAAUUUUUUAAAUACAUUUUUGUAUGACUGAAUGACAGGUCAUACUAUGGAAUUGUAUUGUCCACCUGUCCAUACAUCAGUUCAUCUGUUGACUUUUCUUCUCCAGACCAUAUCUUGUAUACCGAUUUAAUAUUUUUAAAUUUCUUUACAUCUCAAACCGAGAGCUACUUUAAAAAAAAAAAAAAAAAAAAAAAUAAUUAUUAUUGUUAAAACUAGUAGGGAUUGUAUAAAACUAGUAUCCAGACAUCAAAUUUUAAGUAAGUACAUUUGCCAUUUGGCUUGUGAGUUGCAGUUUACAGUAAAUAAAUCUGGAAUGUGAGUUCAGUUAUAAAGAAUUAAAUCUGGAACAUUAUACAUGUGUGAGUGUAUGUUAGUUUCUGUCGAGGACAUAAUCUUAUGUUCUUUGCUUACAAAAUGAGAAUAAAAUGUUUACAAAAAAAUAAAAAAAAUCUCUCGCUCCUUUUUGGUUGUAUAUUCCAAUCUUUUAGUUUUAUUAUCCAUUUCCUGUUACAGUUAUUAUAGUGUUAAGUUUAGUUUUUAUUUGUUUUCUGUUUUCCCUGAAGCUGAUUUUUAGUCAAACUAUUGUCAGAUGUGAUAUGAAUGUUAUGUUAAAUGUUCUGUGAAUGUUACAUGUUUGGUGUUAUGUAAGUGUUUUUUAUUGAGUUAUAUUUGUAUACAUAUUGUGUUGUAAUAUAAAAUGUUCUGUGUUGUUACUGCUGCACAAUAUAAUGUUAAUUUUUAUUUAAUAUUUUUUUUUCUGUGUUUAACAUUUUGUAAUAUGGCACUUCAAAAUAAAUUUAAAAAAUGAAAUAUUUGUUUUUACCCAACCCCACAGCUAUUAUGUAUUUAAAUUAAUUAAUUUUUAGUUAUUAUUUUCUGUCAGUUUAUUUUUAUCUAUUAACAAAUUUGCUCUUAAUGAUUUAUAGUAAUUACAUAGGAAACCAAUUCCUCAUUAUUCAGUUAUUGACAUCACUAAGAACGUUUUAACUAAACGUGUGCUAGUCACAUUGCAGUUGGCUUAUGCUGAUCAUGUGACUGAGUCAGUAAUGUCAGUUACAUGAUAAUAAAAAUAGAGUAUAAAAUUGCACACGAUAAGUCAUUCCAGCCAGAUAAAAUAUCAGUUUUAUUAAGAAAACAAAACAACAUGAAAGUACAUGUAAAAUAGGUAAACCGAUAUUAAUUUUCUAGAAGUAAAUUUUAAGCAAGUUAAAUGUUAAGAAAGUAUUGAUUAUGAGCUACUUUGACCUGGAAUUAUUUUAUUCCAGUAUAAUGCUGUGGAAUUCUAGAUUACAGUAUUUCCCAGUACUUAAUAAUAAUAAAAAUCAGAGUUAUAAUAUCAGUGUUUCUUAGAAAAAGAAAUUUUUGGGUAUGGUACUAUGGAAUUGAAUGCAACCACAAUCAACAGAAAGAAAAUGGGUUACGUUUAGGUUUAGGGUUAAAAAAAAAAGCAUACAGUAAUGAUAAGAAUAACUAAUUUUGUCAAAAGGUUAACUUAAAAAAAUUAAAUAUGCCAAAAAUUUUACCCUUUAGCAGAAACUCUGAAUAUUAUUUGUAUAUCCAGUUUAAUUAAUGUGUUAUUUUAAAUUUUAUAUACCCGGACAUAUUACCAAUAGUACUGAUAAGCAUUUGUGUGUAUUCUGUUAAGUUAUGAACAAGUCUAUCAGUUAAAUUUAUGUCCCAAUCUAACCACAAAUUCUGAUGUUCCGUUCAACAUUUAUCCUAUCUUUACUGUUGAAAGUAACCAACUUACAUUAGGUGUUUGUGUAUACAGAAGGUUUAGGGGUCAAACCAAUAUACUUUCUACUGUAUAUACACCCUCCUUAGAGUUGAUAUAAACAUGUUUAAUAUGCUAAGGGAGACAAACUAGUUGGGUUAAAAAUUACAAAAUCCUAGUCACUUCAAAAUAAUACAUUACAAGAUGUCGACUGUUUUAUUAUUAAUAUACAAGAUAUUUGUAGUUGUACAUGUAGUGUGUAUAUACAUGUAUAGGCCUAUUCAGGCCUAUCUAUACAAAAAUGAUGCACUGCGAAAUAUGCAUUUAAAAAUGUUUUAUUCACCAGCAUUUGUCAUGAUGAAUUUUACUGGUAGAUUGCAGGAAAUAGUUAAUUAUGACCCUGAACCCUGCUAGAUUCUUUUGGGCACUUCAUACGUCGACCUAAAAGUCGGCCCAUCUCAAUAUUCACUUGCUGCUUCUGUGUCUGAAGAAGGUCAAUAUUUGACAAGACAACCCUUGUGUGGCUUUGUGCUUGUGGCACUUGUGGUGUCUGGCUUCACCCAUCACAGUCUAGAUACCUCUGCAUCAUUUUCUGUACAUGCAUCCAGAUGAUUCCUGUGAACACUUUGUAUUUUCACUGUUUGUACCAUGUGUAGUGUGAAAGUAAUAAAGUAAGUAUAUUUACCAUGACAAAAUGAUUGAACUAUGAACAUAUUUAGAAGUUUGGUACUAAUCAUUGCUAACAUUCUGUAGCCAACUCGUACAGUAACUUAUAAAUAGAACGACCGAUAGCACCGCGCUUCACAAUUCAGAGAAAUACCUUUCUAGAAUUAUAAUCCUAAACAACUUGUUUUCUGCCAUGAUUCCGUUGACGACCUUUAUUGCUUGUAGUUCUGUCAUUAUGCAAGUUUAAGCCAAUAUUUGAUGUGUAUUUUCUUGUAUGGAGGUGUAUUUAUGGUCUGAUGUUUUUAGUUGAGUGAAAGGAUGAUGUGUUUGCAUUGAUUUUGAUGUCAUCUGAUGACUUUGUACAGAGAUGUGGCUUUGGAUAUGCUAGCAAUUUCUAUUGAUUAACCACCACAUCUGUAUGUGUAAACCCCACAUUUCCACAUUCAUGCUUUAAUAGUCUUGUAUUUAUUAACUAUUUUUUCUUUAACUUAAUGUUAGUUCUUUGUAAUGCCUUUUCAACAGUACAAUAUUUAAAUUUUCUACUGGAGUAUCAUUAAAGAUUCAUUUAUAUUUUUAAUAAACAUAUUAAUGCACAACUGAUGAUCUUUGGGCUUUGGAGAAAACGUGAUACUUAAAGGUUAACUAUGUAAUAAAGUAAAGUUAAAAGCAGACCCCUUAAAAAUAGUUUUGUCAAGUUGUACGAGAUGGCAGUACACAUGUUUUCAAUUCCAAUACAGGCUAUUUUAAUUUUAUAAAAAUUAUUGAAAAUCCUUUAUUAAAAUUGCUUUAGGGCUAAAAGGAAAAUAAUUACCAUGAGUUAACUCCCAUGGAUAGUGAUUUAAUGUGUGCAGUUUUCCCUGUCUGCAGCAGUGUAGUUUAUGUACUAAAAAUAACCCAGGAUGAUGCCACAUAAUAUUGAUGUCAUCCUUGUUUUUGAAUAAAGUUUGGAACAUUUAGUGUCGGUAUUUUGUAAGAUGUUGUACAGCACUAAUGUAAAAGCAAAAGCAGGAAUUACACUUUUAUCUUAUUAUGGAAAUACAAAGUAUACAGGAAAAUACUGAACACCGUUUGUGCGAUUGUUUUGUCGGUGGUUGCCUGAACUCACAGCAAUGGUUACAUUCUAUUGAUUAAACCAAAACGAUAGCAAACAAUGCCGGUAGUUUGUUACUGCAAUUUUCUACUGAACGUAAGUUGACUGUAAGCUGCAUAUCAUCAAACUUGAUCAAAACUAUUAUUUCAGCUAAUCCUAUAACUUAUGUUUAUUCUUUUUCAGUUUCUGAUAUGACGACCUCGCUAAAAUUUUAUGUUGCUAAUAUGUUACUUACUUGGAAUUUGCUAAAUUUUAAGAUCGCUAAUGUUUUAUGAUUUACAGUAAAUUUUAACUUUAAUAAUUUGAUUAUAAAGUUAACCUUUAAAAAGAUAAACAAUUUUUAAUGUCAUUAUUAUGUGUGAACAAGUUACUAACCAACCACAUUUUAUUGAUCUUACCAGUAUUUGUAGAAUUGGGUUUUAUGUCAUGUAGUCAUAUGUAUAUUAAAUUCCCAAGGUCUUUAAUACUUGGCCUGUCAUUAAUAUGAGGUUCCAUUGUCCAUUUUGGAGUGUUCUGUUGUAAAGCCACUUAGCUGUCGCUUUGUAACUAGGUAGGAUGAACUUGUGUGCAUUGAUUUGUUGUGGUGUUCCAGCUUUGUAUUUAUAAUUAUUCACUGGACUCUUGUCUUGUACAAAUAUAUGACUAAGUAUGUUCAUGAUUUUGACUGAAGGACAUUUUUUUUUAUUGGAGAUUUGAUGUUUGAUCUGUUCUGUGCUUUAGUCAUACAUUUCUAAAAUUUAAAAAACAAAUAUGUUAAUACAAACCUCUCCUUAAGGUCUGUUAGAAGAACCACCUUAUAUUUGCCUCUGUAUCAUCUAAUAUACACCGAAGUCCAUUGAAAACACACCAGUCAAGUUUGUAGGACAUGUAAAAAGGAUAUGACAAGAAAAACAAAUUAUACAUUUAACUGAAUAUAUUCUGUUAGGCAAUAAAUAACCCUAAAAUUCUAUCAAUGUGUGUUUUAUAGCAGAAAUGCAAACCUCACACAUACGAUAGCAAAAAUAACAGAAAAAAUGGGUGAUGUUUUUUCAACAGUGUAUAUUUAAAGACCUUUAGGAAUGGUGCAGAGACAUCCUCUAUGGACUUUAUAAAGGGAAAAAAUAGUAUUAUGACCUCUUACAUUUCUUGUCUAUUGGCAUUCUGAGUGUAUAUAUAUUUUAAUUGUACUUAAUCUAAAGUCUUUUUUACAUAGCUUUUUUUUUUUUUUCGUCCUGUAUCUUUUUCUUUUUUUCUUUUGGUUUAAUGCACACAUUUAUUCUCUUGUAAUAGACAUAAUCUUGUUCCUGAAUUUAUAGUUUAUUUCAUAUUAAAGCGUUAAGUAGAUAAAUUAAAAAGCUAAUAUAUUACAACCUUUUUUGUACUUUUGUUUUCUAGCAUCUUAUCUUAUAUAUAAAGAGAUUUUUAAAAUAUAUAAAUGUUGGUUCAUAUUGAGCAACGUCAGAUGUGAAAUGUGAAUCAUAAAUGUUUAUAGUCUUGUAAUAACAUUUUUGUUUCACUAGUGCAGUUUGUCAUGAAUUCCAACUAUGCACAUACAUGUUUGUAGAGGGUUGUUUCUUUUCUAUAGGUUUGUAAGUAUAAUAUUAUUAUGUCCAAUUUAUACUCAACCAAAAAAGUAUAACAAAUGUUACAACACUUGCGCUAAGAUGAAACAUUGAUUUAUUAUUCAUUUACACAAGUUAAAUUUGUAAUAUCAGUCAUUUAUAUUUAAAUAAAUUUUUGCUGAACUUUUUCAUUGAGUAUAUUUGGACCAGAAGGUAGAAAUGGUAAAAGCAGUUUAUUUAUGAUAUACAAUGAGUUAACAAGACUAAAAUGUUUGGUUCUUAAACGGACCAAUGACAUUAAAUAAAAUUAAUACAGUUUUUGCUAGAAAAUGCUAACUGGUUAAAGCUGGUUAAAUGUUUUGAGUAUUUCACAUUAUAAUUGUAUAAAGCAUAGUAUAAAUACUAAUACUAAUACUAAUUAGUAUUUAAUUAUUCCAUAUCAAAUGUUUGAUUUUUCCAAAUACAUUUACUUUAUUCUAAUGAUUAUAUGACAAAAUAAUCCAUCAAUAAUAUCCAGAUGACAUUUAUUAAUUUUAUAUGUAGAUUUUGUAUUAUGUUUUGUUUUACCGUAUAAGUUAAACCUGUAUUAAAAGAUGUUUCGUGUUGAUUUUGACAAUCAACGGUGGUUUUUAUUAAUGCAUGUUAAUGUAGCUUAAGAUGGCAUUACCAUUGGUCUGUUUUAAUGAUACAAAACUUGACGUCUUUAGAUUAAAUAGGCUUAUUGACAAAUGCACUGCUAUUAAUUAAAUAUAUUGAUUGUAUUUACAUAAGCACCGAGUUCAAUUUUUUUGUUACAGUCACCAAACAACAAGUCAAGUUUUAUUUGAUUGCAUGAGGCAAAUAUGUCUGCACAGCCAAGCAUUCAAGUUGGUGAAACUGGAGACCAUAAACAUGUAAACAAGCAGUUAUCAAAAUUAAAAAAAAAAAAAAUUGCGAUCUUGGCCUUAGUUUAUUUUAGGCUGUUUUUGUAUGCUUCAAAUAAUGAAUGAAUGAUUGUUUAACGACACCCCAGCACAAAAAAUACAUUGGCUGUUGGGGUGUUACACUACGGUAAAUGCUUCAAAUAAUGCUUAAGUGGCUGAUAGCUUCACCCCACGAUAUACAAAGAUAGAAAUAUGCAGGAACCGUAAAGUACAUAAACAUGUACUAUAACUAUACUAUUACUGUAAUUAACAGAAGUUUCCAAACAAAAACAUAACGAGUCACAGAAACGCAAACUGACAAUGAGUUGAGUCUCUAGUGUUUUUCCAGUACCAGAGUUCUGUCUGUGUUGAUGUACUCCAAUUUGAGUGAUUUUGAAAUAAUCUGUUUUUGCUUGGAGCGUAUCGACUGAAACGGAACAUGGUAGUGCCAUUUUGAAUACUGUUUAAUCUAGUGAGAGGCUGCUAAAAGACGAAUCAUCACCAUAUCAAGAUGUAUAUUGUUACUAUGCAUCGUCACAGUACGGCCAGUACAAACUGAUGAGAAAAACAAAAACAUCCUGCAAUGAUCUUUGUACAAUAUCACAACAUGGUCUAAUACCAACUUGGAACCUAUUAUAAAUUGUAGUGCCAAAUUUAUAAAUACAUGUGAAGAAUGAAAUUGUUUAAACAAUUCAGAAAUACAUGUAUGUUCAUGGCAUGCUAUUUGAUAUUUAUUACGCAGUUCCAUGUACUGUACAGAAAACUGAUUUUAUUGUUUAAAAGAGAGCAAUACAAUAUGUGGUAUGAACUAGAUGAAAAAACCUUUACUGUUUAAUCAACUGAUGUAACAAAGUUUAUACACGUGGCACUGUAAAGCCGUGACUGGUUCUCUUGGGUGUAAGAACACUACAGAGAUCUUUGUAUUAUAAUAUAAUUUUCAACCUGAAAGACCAUGUCCAUGUCUACCAUCAGAAAUAAAAUCUGGUAGCAAAAA